AGUGAACGCUGGCGGUAGGCCUAACACAUGCAAGUCGAACGGCAGCACGGAGGAGCUUGCUCCUUGGGUGGCGAGUGGCGGACGGGUGAGGAAUACAUCGGAAUCUACUCUGUCGUGGGGGAUAACGUAGGGAAACUUACGCUAAUACCGCAUACGACCUACGGGUGAAAGCAGGGGGCCUUCGGGCCUUGCGCGAUUGAAUGAGCCGAUGUCGGAGUAGCUAGUUGGCGGGGUAAAGGCCCACCAAGGCGACGAUCCGUAGCUGGUCUGAGAGGAUGAUCAGCCACACUGGAACUGAGGCACGGUCCAGACUCCUACGGGAGGCAGCAGUGGGGAAUAUUGGACAAUGGGCGCAAGCCUGAUCCAGCCAUACCGCGUGGGUGAAGAAGGCCUUCGGGUUGUAAAGCCCUUUUGUUGGGAAAGAAAUCCAGCUGGCUAAUACCCGGUUGGGAUGACGGUACCCAAAGAAUAAGCACCGGCUAACUUCGUGCCAGCCGCCGCCGUAA
rnacentral:rRNA from 1 species